AUUGAACGCUGGCGGCAUGCCUUACACAUGCCAGUCGAACGGUAACAGGUCUUCGGAUGCUGACGAGUGGCGAACGGGGGAGUAAUACAUCGGAACGUGCCCGAUCGUGGGGGAUAACGAGGCGAAAGCUUUGCUAAUACCGCAUACGAUCUACGGAUGAAAGCGGGGGAGCUUCGGACCUCGCGCGGACGGAGCGGCCGAUGGCAGAUUAGGUAGUUGGUGGGAUAAAAGCUUACCAAGCCGACGAUCUGUAGCUGGUCUGAGAGGAUGAGCAGCCACACUGGGACUGAGACACGGCCCAGACUCCUACGGGAGGCAGCAGUGGGGAAUUUUGGACAAUGGGCGAAAGCCUGAUCCAGCCAUGCCGCGUGCAGGAUGAAGGCCUUCGGGUUGUAAACUGCUUUUGUACGGAACGAAAAGCCUCUUUCUAAUAAAGAGGGGUCAUGACGGUACCGUAAGAAUAAGCACCGGCUAACUACGUG
rnacentral:rRNA from 1 species